rnacentral:rRNA from 1 species
AUGUACAAUAAUGUUGUGACAAGUGUUCGAACAAGUGAUGUCGACACCGAUGACUUCCCGAUUAAGAUAGGACUGCAUCAGGGGUCAGCUUUGAGCCCUUAUCUUUUUGCAUUGGUGAUGGAUGAGGUCACAAGGGGUAUACAAGGAGAUAUCCCAUGGUGUAUGCUCUUUGCGGAUGAUGUGGUGCUAGUUGACGAUAGUCGGACGGGGGUAAAUAGGAAGUUAGAGUUAUGGAGACAAACCUUGGAAUCGAAAGGGUUUAGGCUUAGUAGAACUAAAACCGAGUACAUGAUGUGCGGUUUCAGUACUACUAGCUGUGAGGAGGAGGAGGUUAGCCUUGAUGGCCAGGUGGUACCUCGGAAGGACACCUUUCGGUAUUUGGGGUCAAUGUUGCAGGAGGAUGGGGGUAUUGAUGAAGAUGUGAACCAUCGAAUCAAAGCCGGAUGGAUGAAGUGGCGCCAAGCUUCUGGCAUUCUCUGUGACAAGAGAGUGCCACAAAAGUUAAAAGGCAAGUUCUACAGGACGGCGGUUCGACCCGCAAUGUUGUAUGGUGCGGAGUGUUGGCCAGCUAAAAGGCGACAUGUUCAACAGUUAGGUGUGGCGGAGAUGCGUAUGUUGAGAUGGAUGUGUGGCCACACGAGGAAGGAUCGAGUCCGGAAUGAUGAUAUACGAGAUAGAGUUGGGGUAGCACCAAUUGAGGAGAAGCUUGUCCAACAUCGUUUGAGAUGGUUUGGGCAUAUUCAGCGCAGGCCUCCAGAAGCUCCAGUGCAUAGCGGACGGCUAAAGCGUGCGGAGAAUGUCAAGAGAGGGCGGGGUCGACCGAUUUUGACAUGGGAGGCGUCCGUUAAGAGAGACCUGAAGGAUUGA